GAUGAACGCUGGCGGCAGGCCUAACACAUGCAAGUCGAGCGGGGUUUUCGGACCUAGCGGCGGACGGGUGAGUAAUGCGUAGGAAGCUGCCCGAUAGAGGGGGAUACCAGUUGGAAACGACUGUUAAUACCGCAUAAUGUCUACGGACCAAAGUGUGGGACCUUCGGGCCACAUGCUAUCGGAUGCGCCUACGUGGGAUU
rnacentral:rRNA from 1 species